rnacentral:miRNA from 7 species
GAUUUCAGUGAAAUGAAGCCCA